GUGGCAGACGGGUGAGUAAUGCGUAGGAAUCUACCUAGUAGUAUGGAAUAGCCAUUAGAAAUGAUGGGUAAUACUGUAUAAUCCCUGCGGGGGAAAGAUUUAUCGCUAUUAGAUGAGCCUACGUUAGAUUAGCUAGUUGGUAAGGUAAUGGCUUACCAAGGCUAUGAUCUAUAGCUGGUCUGAGAGGACGAUCAGCCACACUGGAACUGAGAUACGGUCCAGACUCCUACGGGAGGCAGCAGUGGGGAAUAUUGGACAAUGGGCGAAAGCCUGAUCCAGCUAUGCCGCGUGAGUGAAGAAGGCCUUCGGGUUGUAAAGCUCUUUCAAUAGGGAAGAUAAUGACGGUACCUAU
rnacentral:rRNA from 1 species